rnacentral:rRNA from 1 species
UACGAAGGGGGCUAGCGUUGCUCGGAAUCACUGGGCGUAAAGGGUGCGUAGGCGGGUCUUUAAGUCAGGGGUGAAAUCCUGGAGCUCAACUCCAGAACUGCCUUUGAUACUGAGGAUCUUGAGUUCGGGAGAGGUGAGUGGAACUGCGAGUGUAGAGGUGAAAUUCGUAGAUAUUCGCAAGAACACCAAUAGCGAAGGCAGCUCGCUGGGACGGUACUGACGCUGAGGCGCGAAAGCGUGGGGAGCGAACAGG